rnacentral:rRNA from 1 species
GAUGAACGCUGGCGGCGUGCCUAAUACAUGCAAGUCGAGCGAACGGACGAGAAGCUUGCUUCUCUGAUGUUAGCGGCGGACGGGUGAGUAACACGUGGAUAACCUACCUAUAAGACUGGGAUAACUUCGGGAAACCGGAGCUAAUACCGGAUAAUCUUUUGCACCGCAUGGUUGAAAAGUGAAAGUCGGCCUUGCUGUCACUUAUAGCUGGAUCCGCGCUGCAUUAGGUAGUUGGGAAGGUAACGGCUUACCAAGGCAACGAUGCGUAGCCGACCUGUGAGGGUGAUCGCCCACACUGGAACUGGGACACGGUCCAGACUCCUACGGGAGGCAGCAGUAGGGAAUCUUCCGCAAAGGGCGAAAGCCUGACGGAGCAACGCCGCGUGAGUGAUGAAGGUCUUCGGAUCGUAAAACUCUGUUAUUAGUGAAGAACAUAUGUGUAAGUAACUGUGCACAUCUUGACGGUACCUAAUCAGAAAGCCACGGCUAACUACGUG